CUUUUGAAUACGUACACCUAUAGAAGUAAAAUGGUAUAGAACCCAACUGUCCUUUGUUCGACAGGGGGUACUAAAAAUCGAAACUACACGGGACUGCAAGAUAAUAUUUGUAACGUACGACCAACCAUUUGUUUUAACAAGUUCGUUAAAGCUUCACUACACAAUGAACCACGUCAGAUUAGACUUGUAAUAAGAAUAAAAGGAAACAAUGACUUUUAAUAAGGCAUGUGUCUGUGUGUGUGUGCGUUGACACUUCCAUAUACACAAAAAACAAAAACCUGUUCAGUAUGUGUACAAACUGACUAUUAGUACUACGGAACGAAGGAAAGAAACGACUUUAAAAUGUUGUUACGGAGAUGAUUGGAGUAAAGUUAACUACUCAUGUCUGGAAGACAAACAAAAACACACACAAUUUACCGUAUCCUUAAAGAGGGGACCUCGAAAGGUCAAAUCUCUUGACUUAAACUGUCAGGUUUAGUAUUCUGUUGUAAGUUGUAAUGAUUCGUUCCCUUGAAGUCUUUUAUAAAAGGACAGGGACCAUCUUUGUCUUGACUUCUAAUGUGGGAAGUCCAAUCUAUACCUGUGAGGUUUAGUCAUCUGUGGAAAAAAGAAGAAAAACCAUAACGAAGGUUUUAGUACUAAUGUAAGUAUAGUGUUUUGUCAGUUUUACGAUUCGAUUUAACAUGAUGUUGUUGUCGGUUAGAUGUUGAUGUCGGUUGUCGAUGUUGUCGACUCGCGUGUAGUGUACCUGGAUCGGUUCAUGCAAAUGUCACGUUCUGUUAGAGCCGCUGUAACUGUCUCGUUUUAAACAACAUAAAAAAGGUAGUUAACAAAACAAGACUACGACUUGUAUUUUAUUUACAUACGAACGACGAGUAAUAGUCCGAUACUCCGUCUGUUUCGUUGAUGUUUUCUUACAUAGGAUCGAUGGAAGUGGUUAUACAACGUCGUCGUUCAGUUCGGUGUCUCUGAUAUACUUACGAACGACAAUUAAAGUAACCUUACGUCCUUACCGACUGGCUCUCGUCACACGUGUAGAGACUCCGGUUUGCUCCGCAACCUCAGCUCCUAAACUGUGUUAAACCUAGCUUAAUGAUGAUAGAUAGGUUGGCCAGAAAGAGAGGAGCCCAGAACCAUCAAGCAGGGACUCUAACCAAAAGAUACGGAUUCUUUCACCUUACCUCCCUCAUUGCGGAACUCCAGAAUAAAUAAUAUUAAUAUCAGUUACAUCAAGGUAAAAGUAUAACAUCUCUACUACAAGCAACACAAUGGA
rnacentral:rRNA from 1 species